rnacentral:rRNA from 1 species
GAUGAACGCUGGCGGCGUGCCUAAUACAUGCAAGUCGAGCGAACGGACGAGAAGCUUGCUUCUCUGAUGUUAGCGGCGGACGGGUGAGUAACACGUGGAUAACCUACCUAUAAGACUGGGAUAACUUCGGGAAACCGGAGCUAAUACCGGAUAAUAUUUUGAACAGCAUGGUUCAAAAGUGAAAGACGGUCUUGCUGUCACUUAUAGAUGGAUCCGCGCUGCAUUAGCUAGUUGGUAAGGUAACGGCUUACCAAGGCAACGAUGCAUAGCCGACCUGAGAGAGAGAUCGGCCACACUGGAACUGAGACACGGUCCAGACUCCUACGGGAGGCAGCAGUAGGGAAUCUUCCGCAAUGGGCGAAAGCCUGACGGAGCAACGCCGCGUGAGUGAUGAAGGUCUUCGGAUCGUAAAACUCUGUUAUUAGGGAAGAACAUAUGUGUAAGUAACUGUGCACAUCUUGACGGUACCUAAUCAGAAAGCCACGGCUAACUACGUG